GUGGGAGACAUUGUGAUUUUGGUGGAGCCAGUAACAAGGCAUGUAGAAGAAAGGAGAUGUAGUUCACUGGACGAAAUAAACAUCUUACUGGACCAGAAAAUUCUAAUAUUGGUUGGAGCAAGACAACCAACUAGAUGCCAGAAGAGUGGCAACUCAGUUAGCAAUGAAAAUUAGCUAAAAAAGAGAAGAUAUUUACUCUAGCCAUGGAUAUGACCGAGAGAAUAAUUCAAAGCAACGUGGUAGAGUUUUGCUCUUACUACUUGUAUCUUUACGGUGUUGUUUCUUAUUAAUCUAAUAGAAUUUUAUUUUAGUUCAGUUACAACUUUCACUAUCGCUUACCUAAGUGAUAGAUCAAAGGUUUUGAACAUUGAAAUUUGGAAAAGAUUUUUACGAGGAGCAAAUUUAAUUUGUUUUGGAUAAGGAAAAACUGGAUAGCGUUUUUAUG
rnacentral:misc_RNA from 1 species